rnacentral:rRNA from 1 species
CGGCGGACGGGUGAGUAAUGUAUGGGGAUCUGCCUGAUGGCGGGGGAUAACUACUGGAAACGGUAGCUAAUACCGCAUAAUGUCUACGGACCAAAGCGGGGGACCUCCGGGCCUCGCGCCAUCAGAUGAACCCAUAUGGGAUUAGCUAGUAGGUAAGGUAACGGCUUACCUAGGCGACGAUCCCUAGCUGGUCUGAGAGGAUGACCAGCCACACUGGAACUGAGACACGGCCCAG